GUUGUCUCUACCUAGAUUUUUGGUCCAAUUGAAGUAGGUGGUUUCACUUUUUCUCCAAUUACUUACCGAUAUCUCUUUCACAAUGAGGUUUUCCAUGUUUUUUGAUUUCCUCAGUCUGCUUCUUCUUCUUCUUAUGUAAGUAGUGUACGUUUCAGUAAAAGCAAUCAGUUUUACGGUUUAUUUAGUUUGGAUUUAUUUUGUACAAAUUAGGCGUUGUAUGUUGAAUCUACUACCAUGUCUCUGAAAUUGUUGUUUGGUACUUUGAUUCUACAAAGACAGGUUUGAUUCAGCCGCCUAUUCUUUUAAAUUAUACUGCAUCAGCUGCUUUCCUUCUUUCAACCCACUGCCUCAAUUAUUUAUCUAAAGUUAUUGACUUAAGAUCUAUCCACAUGGGGAAAACUGGAAAGGUGAAUGUGGUGUGCAGGGUUCAAAGCAUGAGGAACGUCUCAGAUUUAAGAAAACCCAAAAUAAUGAUAUGAGUGUUUACACACAAAGAGUUGGUCUUGGAUUUUCAACUAGCUGAUGUUUUUUACCAUGGUGUUCUUAUGUAAGUUGAUUCUUGAAAACCCAAUAUUUUAAACCGAUUGAAGAGGUAAUUUCUUGAAUAAUAAAAUUUUGCAAGUGAAUUGCUAAACUUAGAAACUAAAUCUUUCAAUUAAAGCAUUGCAACUUAUCCAUCAUCAUUUCUUUUAUUUUAGCAAGACUUUGUUAUGGGUUCUACCACCUGUUCAAUGAAAUUCCUUAUAGAAGGUUAGGUCAUCAUGCUAUUAGGUUUUUCACUAUUGUUGAUCUUCUAGAGUUUUGUAAAGUGAGACCCAAGAAAAGGAAUCAAAUGUCUUUGACUAUAUACUUCAAGCCACUUUGAUUCAUACACAAGUACCCUAUGUUAAGAAGAUAUCAAAGCAAUUAUAGGAAACAUAUUGUCAAAUGUCUUUGACUACAUACCUAAAGCCACUUUGAUUCAUACACAAGUACCCUAUGUUGAGGAUGUAGACUCUACUGCUUUCGUCCUCAACAGUAGAAGUGUGUGCUGCUAAGCCGAUUGCUGAUCAACCAAAGCUUAACCAGUUAAACAAACUAAUUUUGAGGGUCUUUCCACAUUGAUAGAUGUUAUUGCUUGUGCAAAUGAUGAUUUUAUAUUGGCAAGCAAAGCUCUUAUUGAGAUUAUCAUUCACUCAUCUUUCUUUUCCUUCUUGUUCUUCUGGGAAGAUAAGUUUCUUUUUAACUGUCAUAGAUCUUCUUUAUAAAGAAAAGCAAAUACCAAAUAUUGCAAAAGGAGAAACAAUUUGAAAGCAACAAGUUGGUGGUCGAUUACGUUGGACGAGAGAAGUAAUCAAAUUUGAUCGAUAAAGGAAUCUAGAGAAAGAGAAUAUUUAGAAAAACGUGGAGGGAAUGAGAAAUGUCCGUCAGGUCACUAAGACUAUGCAAUUAUUACAUUGUAUUUCAAGAAAAUGGAAAGAUGAGAGCCAAAUGUGAGUGAAUGUGAGUACACCAACUCAUAUAAAUUACAAUUAUUAAUUUUUUGGGCUUUUGAUUUUUACCUCAACGGUCGUAGUUGGAUUAUAUGUUAGAAUACAAUUUGUUAGCAAAAAAAAUUUAUUUAUAUAUUAUACUAGAAAUUCUCCCUAGCUUUGCUUAUAUGGCAAGAAAUUCCAAAAUAGGGCAAAAAAAACUUAACACUUUGACAGCCAACAGUUGGUUGCA